rnacentral:rRNA from 1 species
CAGCAGCCACGGGAAUACGUAGGGUGCAAGCGUUAAUCGGAAUUACUGGGCGUAAAGCGUGCGCAGGCGGUUGUGUAAGUCUGAUGUGAAAGCCCCGGGCUCAACCUGGGAACUGCAUUGGAGACUGCACGGCUAGAGUGCGUCAGAGGGGGGUAGAAUUCCGCGUGUAGCAGUGAAAUGCGUAGAGAUGCGGAGGAAUACCGAUGGCGAAGGCAGCCCCCUGGGAUGACACUGACGCUCAUGCACGAAAGCGUGGGGAGCAAAUGGGAUUAGAUACCCGAGUAGUCCCUGUCUCUUAUAC